rnacentral:misc_RNA from 1 species
UCAAACUUGGUCAUUUAGAGGAAGUAAAAGUCGUAACAAGGUCUCCGUAGGUGAACCUGCGGAGGGAUCAUUACCGAAUGGCCUCUUUUGGCCUUUCACCUUCAAAACCUGUGGAUCUCAACGUGUGUUUUGGCGCUCUGGCGCCAAUUUUAUGCUGAAAUCAAUUUUGAAGUCCGAUUUUUUUGUUGCAUUGAAAACUUUCAACAAAGUAUCUCUUGGCUCUUUAGAGGAAGUAAAAGUCGUAACAAGGUCUCCGUAGGUGAACCUGCGGAGGGAUCAUUACCGAAUGGCCUCUUUUGGCCUUUCACCUUCAAAACCUGUGGAUCUCAACGUGUGUUUUGGCGCUCUGGCGCCAAUUUUAUGCUGAAAUCAAUUUUGAAGUCCGAUUUUUUUGUUGCAUUGAAAACUUUCAACAAAGGAUCUCUUGGCUCUUGCAUCGAUGAAGAACGCAGC